GCCAGACUCCUACGGGAGGCAGCAGUGGGGGAUAUUGCACAAUGGGGGAAACCCUGAUGCAGCGACGCCGCGUGAGUGAAGAAGUAAUUCGUUACGUAAAGCUCUAUCAGCAGGGAAGAAAAUGACGGUACCUGACUAAGAAGCCCCGGCUAACUACGUGCCAGCAGCCGCGGUAAUACGUAGGGGGCAAGCGCUAUCCGGAAUUACUGGGUGUAGAGGGAGCGCAGACGGCAGUGCAAGUCUGGAGUGAAAGCCCGUGGCUUAACCACGGGACUGCUUUUGAAACUGUUGAACUAGAUUGCAGGAGAGGUAAGUGGAAUUCCUAGUGUAGCGGUGAAAUGCGUAGAUAUUAGGAGGAACACCAGUGGCGAAGGCGGCUUACUGGACUGUAAAUGACGCUGAGGCUCGAAAGCGUGGGGAGCAAACAGGAUUAGAUACCCUGGUAA
rnacentral:rRNA from 1 species